GACGGUACCUGCAGAAGAAGGAGCGGCCAACUACGUGCCAGCAGCCGCGGUGACACGUAGGCUCCAAGCGUUGUCCGGAUUUAUUGGGCGUAAAGAGCUCGUAGGCGGUUCAGCAAGUCGGGUGUGAAAACUCUGGGCUCAACCCAGAGCCUGCACCCGAAACUGCUGUGACUAGAGUUCGGUAGGGGAGUGGGGAAUUCCUAGUGUAGCGGUGAAAUGCGCAGAUAUUAGGAGGAACACCGAUGGCGAAGGCACCACUCUGGGCCGAAACUGACGCUGAGGAGCGAAAGCGUGGGUAGCAAACAGGAUUAGAUACCCUGGUAGUCCACGCCGUAAACGAUGGGCACUAGGUGUGGGUCUCUAACCAACGAGAUCCGCGCCGUCGCUAACGCAUUAAGUGCCCCGCCUGGGGAGUACGGUCGCAAGACUAAAACUC
rnacentral:rRNA from 1 species